UGUUGCUGUCACUGAUGGAAUUUGAUUGUUGCCAUCCUGUAGCCCAAGUCAGGCUGUGGUGGGAACAAAGCACACGAAAGUGAAGCCUGCUUCUGCGGUGUGACUUCUGCUCUCAAGCUCUUUUGUAUACAGAAGAGGGUUCAAGACUCCUAAGAAGCACAGCAGAACAGGAACAAGAGCCUCAGCUCCUGGCUGAGGGAGAGGAGUCUCAGGAGACAGCUGAGCCCAGCUCAUGGACUCCUUGCAGAACAAAGAAUGUCAUGGCACUAUUUACGAUUUUUUGAAAGUUUUAUUUUUGAUGUCUUCAUUUUUUUUGUUUAUUUUCAGCAUGGGAAAUAUUGUCUUAUGAUCAGCUGAAUUUUAUUAUCCUCCCUUGGAAACUUCAAGGUGGGGGGAAAGAARGAGAGAGAGAGAAGGGGACUCUCUAGGAAGAUCAUCUGCUCCAGGCAUUAUGAAACCACUUUUGAAGACUGGCGAGCGUUAUAUAACACUGGAUUUGAACUCCCAUUUAGAAAAUGGGAGCAGAAGAAACGGGCAAAUAUCACUGAUCUUGACAAAUUUGAGUGGAGCAGCGAGCAGGACCCUGCGUGGGCUGAAAGCGCUCGCUCYUGCGCAGUGCUCGGCAGCAGGGGGGAGGAAGGGUUUAACCAGGCGUCCGGACCUGCCCAGACCCGGGACUAUUGAACCACCGUUUGGUAGAAAUGCAGCUUUGCUUAAUUUUCUCAUAUUUUUUUUGUGUGCUUAAUUUAUUAAAAUAGUUGCUGUAUAAUUUAUUUUCAUAAACUAUAUUAAAAAGUUACUAAAUGGUAAAACAGACUUGCAGGCCAAUCUUUCAGAAAAAAAAAAAGUUUUUUGAUAUAAACACAACAAAUGCACUUUGGGUGUGUUUGAUUAUUUUUGGGGGUAGGGGAGGGGGAGACUGGCUGUACCUGUGGAUUCGUUCCAGAGUGGGUUUGUCUGUAUAUAUUGUAUUAAUAGGCAUGUUUGGCCUCUCGUAUGGAGACGUUAGUAACUGCUGCAGGUCCUGUUUGGGAAGCCGGUGUGAAGUUCCCAGUUUUUUGUAAGGUGUCAGUGAGGGAGAACUGACUUUUGUGUUUGUAACUCAUUUUUAUUGUCGUUUUGACUGAUGGUUUUUUGGUUGGGGGGGG
rnacentral:lncRNA from 1 species